rnacentral:rRNA from 1 species
UAUAAGUAUAACCUGCCAGACAGGGAAACUGCGUACGGCUCAUUACACCAGCUGUAAUUUACUUGACCUUGACCACCUACUUGGAUAACUGUGGUAAUUCUAGAGCUAAUACAUGCACCAAAGCUCCGAUCCUCGCGGAGAGGAGCGCAUUUGUUCGCCACAAAACCAAGCGCCUUCACAGGCGUUCAGUGUUGACUCAGAACAACUCAGCUGAUCGCACGGUCUCGUACCGGCGACGUGUCUUUCAAGUGUCUGCCUUAUCAACUUUCGAUGGUAGUGUACCUGACUACCAUGGUGAUGACGGGUAACGGAGGAUAAGGGUUCGACUCCGGAGAAGGGGCCUGAGAAAUGGCCACUACGUCUAAGGAUGGCAGCAGGCGCGCAAAUUACCCACUCUCAACAUGAGGAGGUAGUGACGAGAAAUAACGAGACUGUUCUCACAUGAGGCCAGUUAUUGGAAUGGGUACAAUUUAAA